GAUGAAGAACGCAGCGAAAUGCGAUACGAAGUGUGAAUUGCAGAAUUCAGUGAAUCAUCGAAUCUUUGAACGCACAUUGCACCUCUCGGUAUUCCGGGAGGUAUGCCUGUUCGAGCGUCAUUUGUACCCUCAAGCUCUGCUUGGUGUUGGGUGUUUGUUCCGCCUCUGUGUGUGAACUCGCCUCAAAACAAUUGGCAGCCGGCGUACUUGUUUCGGAGCGCAGCACAUUUUGCGAUCCAGAUCAACGUACAGCGGCAUCCAAGAAGCCUUAUUUAACGCUCUUGACCUCGGAUCAGGUAGGGAUACCCGCUGAACUUAAGCAUAUCAAUAAGCGGAGGA
rnacentral:misc_RNA from 1 species